ACUCAUUCAAAAACCUCAAAUCAUACACUAAAAGUGGACAAAGUAUUCUAUUUCAAUUUUGGCGAUGUUGAAUUUGUUUUAUUUUCAACGUAGUUUACCAAUUUCAACAUAACUAUUAAUUAUCUUCUUUUUGAUUCAUGCAAAAAGAUGAAAUCAUACACUAAUAAUCAAUCCCUAAAAGAAAUAUCUAUCUAAGUAAAAAACCAAUUUUAAAACCUUUUUUAAAAUUAUUUAAAUUAAUAAAUUUUAAUAUAUUGAUUUUUUAAACUAAUAAAAAAUAUUUUAAAAAAAAAAUUCGUCUACAUUUUCCCAGGGGUUAACCCCUGGCAGAUCUCCUGUUAGUGUUUGAUUUGAUCUCUAAAAAUUGGGUCAGGAUAGUCUGCACGCGUUAGAAAAGUUGAUAGGGGUUGUACCAGGGAAUGUACCCCACAUAAAUUUGUCAGGAACUAAAGCCCUGGCAUGGUCAUAUAUUUGCGAUGACCUGCUUUGCUGGGGAUUGUGCCCCUAGAAAAACUCCUCGCAAACAUUAGUUUGCCAAGGCUUUAUGCAUUGUGUCAGGGGUUCUGGCCUUGGCUAAUUACCAGAUUUCUUGUAGUGAGUGUGGACAAAGUCUUCUAUUUCAAUUUUGAAAAUGUUGAAGGCGGGGGGGGACACAAAAAGGCGUGAUGGGUCUGGAUUGUAAGCCAUGGCAAUGCCUCCAAAUUUACCAGAUAAGGAGAUCUUAUAAAUAAAACUCUUUGUUGUCUUAUUUCAUUUCCAUCAUCUUAGAUUACAUAAGAAGAAAAUAAUAAUUAUUGAGUGCAUGCAUAAAAACUAAAUGACAACAUGUGGAAUAUUCUAGCAUAAGGUAUAUUGUACAAUUCUCUUGCUAGAGAAAGAACUCGUUUAUCUCAUUAGGAUGUUUUAGAUCUGUACACAUUGGCCUUUACGACACCUAACAUUAGACCUAUGAAGUUUUGGACAAUCUUUAUCUGAUUUACAAGCACCUUCAAAAAAAUGACUAAAAGAAGAAUUACAUAUUGUCAUGCCAAGAAAUAUGGAAAGAAGUAGAACUAUAACAUAAACCAACUUUGGAGUUUGAACCAUAUUUUUCCUAUUUGCAUCCAAAUACUAGUAAAUGACUUGAUCUCUUUAUAGUGUAUAAUAAAAUAUGGUCUUAGAGAAAUAAUUAAAUAGUUUAAGCAUUAUAAAAUUUUAAGAUUCAUUCAGAAUUUUAUAAUUAUUACUAAAUGUCACUUAAAUAUAUCAAUGUGUUAUUUUUGUCCCUUUAGCACACUUAGGAAGUACUUCAUGUAAUAAAAAUAAUAAUCAAUAUAACUGAAUACAAUAUUACAAACUUUAAAUUACUUUUUCCUUUAAAUAAUUGUAUUAUGUUUUUAACCUUUUGUGAGAGUAAAGGAAAAAAAGUAUACCAUCAUAAAGUUAUGUACGAAUAUAAAGCACCAUUAGAUAUUUAUGAACAAGUAAGACAUAUGUUAUGAGAAAUCUAUUUUUUGAUUAAAUCAUUUGAUCAUAAAGAUUUAAUAUUUAAAAAAUUUCAUUUUAUAAUUUAUUCCACUUUCUUAUUCACAUCAAUUAUAUGAAUCAAUUAUAUAAUCAAUGGACCCCCUCUUGUAUAACGAUAGACUUUUAAUAAGUGUACUAAAGGUUAUCGAAGUAAUAAAGUAUAACCUUAAACUCCAUAUAGACUGCUUUGAUUUCUACUUGGCAAACAAACAAAGGAAUUUAAGGAUAAAAAGAAUGUAAUGGGUCAUUCUAUUAAAAGUAAAGGCAUUUUGAAUGACUACUCAACGACAUUACCAUUUGAGGUAACAUCUCAACGACUCUUAUCAGGCUUCUUGAUGAAGGAGCACCAUAUGAUAUUUUAGGAUAUGUUUUUAGUAGUUUUCUUUGCAUAUAAAGGAAAAUUAGUUGUAAUUAAGAGGAGUUUUCAAUGGUUUGAGGAACAAAUUGUAUUGUUUUCAUUUGAGUCAUUAUAAUUCAUUUUUAUCAUAAAUCAUGUACCUCCAUAUGUUUUUUUAGUCUUUUUAGUGAGAAAUCAUGUAAAUCGGCAAAACAAGACAUCAAGUGAAGGAUCAAGGAUAUGAAGAUUGAAGACCAAUGGUUCUUAGCAGGUUGUUAAAGACGGUGGAAUGAUCGAAAAGGGGUGAAAAACGGAUUGAAGACCAAUGGUUCUUAGCAUUAAAUCCUUGAUCACAUUAAAUCAUGCACCUCCAUAUGUUUUUUUGAGUCUUUUUUUGUAAUGAUGUUUGUUCACAUAUGCAACUAAACCUCUUUGAUUAUGGUUCUACAAUGAACCCCUUAUUAUUUGUUGGAUUCAAUUAAUAAAGUUUUUCAUUCAGUCUAUGUUUUGAUUGUCAGAUUUAAUUUUGUAUAUGUCUAGUCUCUUAUGCCUUUUCAAAUGAGAAUUUGUAUCGGUAAUUUUGAAAAUUGAUCUAUAGAC
rnacentral:lncRNA from 1 species